UGGGGAAUAUUGGACAAUGGGCGCAAGCCUGAUCCAGCCAUGCCGCGUGAGUGAUGAAGGCCCUAGGGUUGUAAAGCUCUUUUGUGCGGGAAGAUAAUGACGGUACCGCAAGAAUAAGCCCCGGCUAACUUCGUGCCAGCAGCCGCGGUAAUACGAAGGGGGCUAGCGUUGCUCGGAAUCACUGGGCGUAAAGGGUGCGUAGGCGGGCAGAUAAGUCAGUGGUGAAAUCUUCCGGCUUAACCGGGAAACUGCCGUUGAUACUAUUUGUCGUGAAUAUUGCGGAGGUAAGCGGAAUAUGUCAUGUAGCGGUGAAAUGCUUAGAUAUGACAUAGAACACCAAUUGCGAAGGCAGCUUACUACACAAUCAUUGACACUGAGGCACGAAAGCGUGGGUAGCGAACA
rnacentral:rRNA from 1 species